AUUGAACGCUGGCGGCAGGCAUAACACAUGCAAGUCGAGCGAGCGGCGGACGGGUGAGUAACGUCCGGGAAAAUGCCGGACGGAGGGGGAUAACAACUGGAAACGGUAGCUAAUACCGCAUACCAUCAGAUGUGCCCAGAUGGGAUGAGCUAGUAGGUGGGGUAAUGGCUCACCUAGGCGAUGCUCCCUAGCGUGUCUGAGAGAAUGACCAGCCACACUGUAACUGUGACACGGUCCAGACUCCUACGGGAGGCAGAAGUGGGGAAUAUUGCACAAUGGGCGCAAGCCUGAUGCAGCCAUGCCGCGUGUGUGAAGAAGGCCUUCGGGUUGUAAAGCACUUUCAGCGGGGAGGCGUUACCCGCAGAAGAAGCACCGGCUAACUCCGUGCCAGCAGCCGCGGUAAUAC
rnacentral:rRNA from 1 species